CAGUAGCCGCGGGAAUACGGAGGGGGCUAGCGUUGUUCGGAAUUACUGGGCGUAAAGCGCACGUAGGCGGCUUGGUAAGUUAGAGGUGAAAGCCUGGAGCUCAACUCCAGAAUUGCCUUUAAGACUGCCGAGCUAGCAGGUGAGAGAGGUAAGUGGAACUCCGAGUGUAGAGGUGAAAUUCGUAGAUAUUCGGAAGAACACCAGUGGCGAAGGCGGCUUACUGGCUCAUACUGGACGCUGAGGUGCGAAAGCGUGGGGAGCAAACAGGAUUAGAGACCCGCGUAGUCCCUGUCUCUUAUAC
rnacentral:rRNA from 1 species